rnacentral:rRNA from 1 species
AUGCUCGAGCGAGCAGGCAUGAAGGGCUGCCAUGCCGUGCAUGCUCCAAUGGAGGCACGACUGAAGCUCAGCAAGGAUAGCUCCGAGAAGGCGGUGGAUGCUACACUCUACCGCAGCAUCAUCGGGAGCCUCAGGUACCUCGUGCACACCCGACCGGACAUCACGUUCAUUGUCGGGUACCUGAGUAGGUUCAUGGAAGCCCCGGCAAGCGAUCACCUGGCUGCCAUCAAGCACCUGCUCUGGUACAUCGCGGGUACGCUCACGCAUGGAUGCGUGUAUCGUCGUGGUGACGGCGAGAGCUUGGUUGGGUACAGCGACUCCGACCACGCUGGUGACGUGGACUCCCGGAAGAGCACCUCGGGCAUACUAUUCCUUCUCGGGAAUAGUCCCGUCAGCUGGCAAUCGGUGAGGCAGAAGGUUGUCGCCAUAUCUUCGUGCGAGGCAGAGUACAUCGCGGCAGCUACAGCGGCCUGUCAAGGCAUUUGGCUUGCUCGCCUUCUCGGAGAGAUGCUGAAUCAGGACACCGCCCCUGCGCUCAUCCUCGUCGACAACAAGUCGACGAUUUCCCUUUGCAAGAAUCCAGUGCUUCACGACCGUAGCAAGCACAUCGAUCUCCCGCUAUCACUUCGUACGUGA